rnacentral:rRNA from 1 species
UGAAGAGGGAAAAGCUCAAAGUUGGAACCUGGUGGGCAUAGCUCACCCGGAUUGUAAACUAAAGUUUUUGAGUCGUUUAGUCAGCCAGGUAAAUAAGUCCUCUGGAAAGGGGCGACAUAGAGGGUGAAAUCCCCGUCUUUGGCCUGAGUUUUGGUUAGGCGUUUGGCUUGGAAACGAAGAGUCAGGUUGUUUGGGAAUGCAGCCUAAAAUGGGAGGUAAAUCUCUCCUAAAGCUAAAUAUUGACGAAAGACCGAUAGCGAACAAGUACCGUGAGGGAAAGAUGAAAAGCACUUUGAAAAGAGGGUCAAAAAGUACGUGAAAUUGCUGAAAGGGAACCGUAUGAAAUCAGACCUACUGGUAGGUAAUCAAUCUUUCCCUUGGGAAGGAUGCACUUGCCUGCUAUGUAUGCCAGCGACAUUUUGGUUGGGAGGAAAAAAAUAGAGGGAAUGUAGCCUAGGCUUCGGUUUAGGUGUUAUAGACUUUUAUAAAAUACUCUCGGCUGGAAUGAGGAACGCAGCAAACCGUAAGGCGAAGAUUCUAGUCGCUUGGGGGGAAUAAUUAGAGAAUUUCUGCUUCGGGUGGUGCUUUGAUUAUUACUUUCAACUUCGGUUGGAGUUCUUUUAAUUUGCUUAGGUUGUUGGCUUAAUGAUUUUAUAUGAC